GGAAAUGUGCCUGAAAAUCAAGGACAACUUUGAUAGAGUUGAAAAUAGAGGUUAAAGCCCCCUCAUUUCCUAG
rnacentral:tRNA from 1 species